rnacentral:tRNA from 2 species
CCUUCGAUAGCUCAGUUGGUAGAGCGGUGGACUGUAGUUGAUCACGAUUCAUAAUAGUAAUCCAUAGGUCGCUGGUUCAAAUCCGGCUCGAAGGA